rnacentral:lncRNA from 12 species
GUCUUCCUCCUUCUUGGCACCCACAUCAUCCAGCACACCUCUCCCUGCUCUGUGCCAAGGUAGCAGAGCCCACCCCCCGCUCCCCUUCCUCCCUGCAGGGGGUGGGGGGUCCUGCUUCUGGGGAAACUGCCCAAGGACAGUCUGGAUUUGUCUUCGUGUAUGAAAAAGAGUGAAGUUCUUCCCUUGACAUGGAAUUCCUUUAGCUUUUAUUUUUUUCUCUUUCUAAUUAGUAGUUUCAACCAAUGUGGUGUGACUUGACAUGGUCGCUCCUGAAUUACCAGUGAGUAGAUGUCAGAGGGACAUGAACCUGGCUCUUGUGUAUCCGGUGACACGGUACCCACGGAAGGCAGAAGGUCUGGGCAAAGGAGGAACUUCUAUCUUCACCAGAAGCAAGAUUUACACUGGAAAGAAGGAUCUCGAGGGGAGGUACCAGACUCAACAUUCCUUGGCUGAGCCCCAGGGCUCUACAUAUACCUUGAAGAGCACUUAAUUGGUUGUAAUUUUUUCUACCAUGGGAUUGGCAUGUACAAUUGCAGCUUACACACUGCACAACUCCAGGUGUUUGUUAUGUGGCAUCAACCUGGGUGACCCAUCACGCAGCCCAUGAGCCAGUGUACAGUAGUGGCUGCAUAUAAGGGCUUGGCUGGCAGGCAAUGGGGGAGCUAGUCUCUCUAACUUUGUGGAGAAGCUCUCUCAUUCUCCUUGAGCCCACUUCCACAUCUAUAAAGUGGAAAUGACCAUCAUAGUCCCUUCAUUUCCAGGGCAUUUGUAG